rnacentral:rRNA from 1 species
UACGUAGGGGGCAAGCGUUGUCCGGAUUUAUUGGGCGUAAAGAGCGUGUAGGCGGCCAGGUAGGUCUGCUGUGAAAACUCGAGGCUUAACCUCGAGCUGUCGGCGGAAACCAUCUGGCUAGAGUCCGGAAGAGGAGAAGCGGAAUUCCCGGUGUAGACGGUGAAAUGACGCAGAUAUCGGGAAGAACACCCGUGGCGAAGGCGGUUCUCUGGGACGGUACUGACGCUGAGACGCGAAAGCGUGGGGAGCGAACAGG